UACGGAGGAUGCAAGCGUUAUCCGGAAUGAUUGGGCGUAAAGCGUCCGCAGGUGGCUAUGUAAGUCUGCUGUUAAAGAGUGAGGCUCAACCUCAUAAGAGCAGUGGAAACUACAUAGCUAGAGUGCGUUCGGGGCAGAGGGAAUUCCUGGUGUAGCGGUGAAAUGCGUAGAUAUCAGGAAGAACACCGGUGGCGAAAGCGCUCUGCUAGGCCGCAACUGACACUGAGGGACGAAAAGCUAGGGGAGCGAAUGGG
rnacentral:rRNA from 1 species